UACGUAGGGGGCGAGCGUUGUCCGGAGUUACUGGGCGUAAAGCGCACGCAGGCGGUCUGCUAAGUUUGGAGUGACAGUUGGUGGCUUAACUGCCAAAGUGCUUCGAAAACUGAUAGACUUGAGGGCUUCAGAGGGACACGGAAUUCCGGGUGGAGUGGUGAAAUGCGUAGAGAUCCGGAGGAACACCAAAGGCGAAGGCAGUGUCCUGGGGAGUACCUGACGCUCAGGUGCGAAAGCCAGGGGAGCGAACGGG
rnacentral:rRNA from 1 species